CAGCAGCCGCGGUAAUACGUAGGUGGCAAGCGUUGUCCGGAAUUAUUGGGCGUAAAGCGCGCGCAGGCGGCUUCCCAAGUCCCUCUUAAAAGUGCGGGGCUUAACCCCGUGAUGGGAAGGAAACUGGGAAGCUCAGAGUAUCGGAGAGGAAAGCGGAAUUCCUAGUGUAGCGGUGAAAUGCGUAGAUAUUAGGAGGAACACCAGUGGCGAAAGCGGCUUUCUGGACGAAAACUGACGCUGAGGCGCGAAAGCCAGGGGAGCGAACGGGAUUAGAUACCCCUGUAGUCCCUGUCUCUUAUAC
rnacentral:rRNA from 1 species